rnacentral:rRNA from 1 species
GAUGAACGCUGGCGGCGUGCCUAAUACAUGCAAGUCGAGCGAACGGACGAGAAGCUUGCUUCUCUGAUGUUAGCGGCGGACGGGUGAGUAACACGUGGAUAACCUACCUAUAAGACUGGGAUAACUUCGGGAAACCGGAGCUAAUACCGGAUAAUAUUUUGAACCGCAUGGUUCAAAAGUGAAAGACGGUCUUGCUGUCACUUAUAGAUGGAUCCGCGCUGCAUUAGCUAGUUGGUAAGGUAACGGCUUACCAAGGCAACGAUGCAUAGCCGACCUGAGAGGGGAAUCGGCCACACUGGAACUGAGACACGUUCCGGACUCCUAGGGGAGGCAGCAGUAGGAAAUCUUCCGAAAUGGGCGAAAGCUGACGGAGCAACGCCGCGUGAGUGAUGAAGGUCUUCGGAUCGUAAAACUCUGUUAUUAGGGAAGAACAUAUGUGUAAGUAACUGUGCACAUCUUGACGGUACCUAAUCAGAAAGCCACGGCUAACUACGUG